rnacentral:misc_RNA from 1 species
UGCUAGACAGGAUGCAUAUAAAUAAAAUAUCAUUGAAAUGAAGAACAAGCAAAAGAAAAGUUAACAAACCAAAGACAAACAGAGAAAGAGAGAACAGCAAGGAACUAACAUUACAUAAGAGAAAAGCAAUCGUGUUACCAUGUUACCCUGCCAAAAAACUUCUCAAAAGGAGUCCGUCCUUACAAAAUUUGUGAAGUAGGUAACUGAAGGAAUAAGAUCACAAUUCAUUUACAGGGGCUCAAACAAAAAGAUGAAGUUCUUGAUAGUCAAUACAAAUUUUCUUUUUCAUUACCUCCUCAUACACAAUUUCAUUUCACAUCAUUUGAGAAUAAGCCAAAUUAAAAAAAAAAAAAA